GCACUGCUGAGGAGUCCCAAAAUAGGACGAAAUGGCCGUCCAGUGC
rfam:Schistosoma haematobium scaffold437_15, whole genome shotgun sequence.